rnacentral:rRNA from 1 species
UACAUGGGGUGCAAACGUUGCUCGGAAUUAUUGGGCGUAAAGCGCACGUAGGCGGAUUUGUAAGUCAGGGGUGAAAUCCCGGGGCUCAACCUCGGAACUGCCUUUGAUACUGCAAAUCUCGAGUCCGGAAGAGGUGAGUGGAAUUCCUAGUGUAGAGGUGAAAUUCGUAGAUAUUAGGAAGAACACCAGUGGCGAAGGCGGCUCACUGGUCCGGUACUGACGCUGAGGUGCGAAAGCGUGGGGAGCAAACAGG